GACGAACGCUGGCGGCGUGCUUAACACAUGCAAGUCGAACGGAGCUAUUUAUUUCGGUAAACCGCUUAGUGGCAAACGGGUGAGUAACGCGUAGGCAACCUGCCCUCAGGAUGGGGACAACGGCUCGAAAGAGCCGCUAAUACCGAAUGACGUAACUCUUCCACAUGGAAGAGAUACUAAAGAUGGGUCAAACCAUCGCCUAAGGAUGGGCCUGCGUCUGAUUAGCCAGUUGGUGAGGUAACGGCUCACCAAAGCGACGAUCAGUAGCCGGUCUGAGAGGAUGAGCGGCCACAAUGGGACUGAGACACGGCCCAUACUCCUACGGGAGGCAGCAGUGGGGAAUCUUCCGCAAUGGGCGAAAGCCUGACGGAGCAACGCCGCGUGAGUGAAGAAGGUCUUCGGAUCGUAAAGCUCUGUUGUCGGGGACGAAAGAGUAGACGAGGAAAUGCGUCUA
rnacentral:rRNA from 1 species